CCAACAAAGUAUUUCAUGGUUUCAUACAUGAGAUUAAAUGAAAGAAAUGAGCAGAGUGGAGCACACCUGUGGAAGACAGAAGCAGAAUGACAAAAUGCCUGAGACAAAAAAAAAUCAAAGAAGCCCUAUUUAGGAUCAGAGUUUCAGAACAGAGAAGGCGUGAGGUAACAGCACAGUGGUGGGAGUGACUGGUUGAAGCUGCUCACAUCACAGAAGUGGAGAGAUGGGCAUGAGGGUCUGUUCUAUCUUUCUCCUCACCUUUCUCCCAGCUGGAUCCCCUGCCCAUGAGAUGAAGACACCUACAUUCAAGGAAAUGGACAAUUUCCUAGACAAAUGCCAGGUACGGAAGAUAAAUCAGGAACAGACAAACAAUUUAAAUAUCCCCAUAACUCCUAAAGAAAUAGAAGCAGACAUUAAAAGUCUCCCAACAAAAAGAGCCCAGGUCCAGAUGGGUUCGCAGAUAGCAGAAUUGUAUCAGACCUUCAUAGAAGACCUCAUACCAAUAUUAUCCAAACUAUUCCACAAAAUUGAAACAGAUGGAGCAUUACCGAAUUCCUUCUAUGAAGCCAGAAUUACUCUUAUACCUAAACCACACAAAGACCCAACAAAGAAAGAGAACUUCAGACCAAUUUAUUUUAUGAAUAUCGACACAAAAAUACACAAUAAAAUUCUUGCAAACCGAAUCCAAGAACACAUCAAAACAAUCAUCCAUCAUGAUCAAGUAGGCUUCAUCCCAGGUAUACAGGGUUGGUUCAAUAUAUGGAAAACCAUCAAAGUAAUCCACUAUAUAAACAAAUUGAAAUAUAAAAACCACAUGAUGAUUUCAUUAGAUGCUCAGAAAGCAUUGGACAAAAUUCAACACCCCUUCAUGAUAAAAGUCCUGGAAAGAACAGGAAUUCAAGACCCACAGCUAAACAUAGUAAAAGCCAUAUACAGCAAACCAGUAGCUAACAUUAAACUAAAUGGAGAGAAACUUGAAUAAAUCCCACUAAAAUCAGGAACUAGACAAGGCGACCCACUCUCUCCCUACUUAUUCAAUAUAGUUUUCAAAGUCCUAUGCAGAGCAAUCACACAGCUAAAGGAGAUCAAUGAGAUACAGAUUGGAAAGGAAGAAGUCAAAAUAUCACUGUUUGCAGAUGAUACGAUGGUAUAUUUGAGUUCCACCAGAGAACAAGUAAACCUGAUAAACACCUUCAGCAAACUGGCUGGGUAUAAAAUUAACUCAAAUAAAUCAGUAGCCUUCUUCUACACUAAAGAGAAAGAAGCCGAGAAAGAAAUUAGGGAAACGACACCCUUCAUAAUAGUCCCAAAUAAUAUAAAAUACCUCGGUGUGACUUUUACCAAGCAAGUAAAAGAUGUGUAUGAUAAGAACUUCAAGCCUCUGAAGAAAGAAAUUGAAGAAGACCUCAGAAGAUGGAAAGAUCUCCCAUGCUCAUUGAUUGGCAGGAUUAACAUAGUAAAGAUGGCCAUUUUACUGAAAGCGAUCUACAGAUUCAAUGCAAUCCCCAUCAAAAUACCAAUCUUCAGAGAGUAAGACAGAACAAUUUGCAAAUUCAUCUGGAAUAACAAAAAACACAGGAUAGCUAAAACUAUCCUCAACAAUAAAAGGACUUCUGGGGGAAUCACUAUCCCUGAACUCAAGCAGUAUUACAGAGUAAUAGUGAUAAAAACUGCAUGGUAUUGGUACAGAGACAGACAGAUAGACCAGUGGAAUAGAAUUGAAAACCCAGAAAUGAACCAACACACCUAUGGGCACUUGAUUUUUGACAAAGGAGCCAAAACCAUCUAAUGGAAGAAAGAUAGCAUUUUCAGCAAAUGGUGCUGGUUCAACUGGAGGUCAGCAUGUGGAAGAAUGCAGAUUGAUCCAUGCUUAUCACCCUGUACAAAGUUUAAGUCCAAGUGGAUCAAGGAUCUCCACAUCAAACCAGAUACACUCAAACUAAUAGAAGAAAAAGUGGAGAAGCAUCUCGAACACAUGGGCACUGGGGAAAAUUUCCUGAACAAAACACCAAUGGCUUAUGCUCUAAGAUCAAGAAUCCACAAAUGGCAUCCCAUAAAACUGCAAAGCUUCUGUAAGGCAAAGGACACUGUUGUUAGGACAAAAUGACAACCAACAGAUUGGGAAAAGACCUUUACCAAUCCCACAACAGAUAGAGGCCUUAUAUCCAAAAUAUACAAAGAACUCAAGAAGUUAGACCGCAGGGAGACAAAUAACCCUAUUAAACAAUGGGGUUCAGAGCUAAACAAAGAAUUCACAGCUGAGGAAUGCCGAAUGGCUGAGAAACACCUAAAGAAAUAUUCAACAUCUUUAGUCAUAAGGGAAAUGCAAAUCAAAACAACCCUGAGAUUUCACCUCACACCAGUAAGAGUAGAUAAGAUCAAAAACUAAGGUGACAGCAAAUGCUGGCAAGGAUGUGGAGAAAGAGGAACACUCCUCCAUUGUUGGUGGGAUUGCAGACUGGUACAACCAUUCUGGAAAUCAGUCUGGAGGUUCCUCAGAAAAUUGGACAUUGAACUACCUGAGGACCCAGCUAUACCACUCUUGGGCAUGUACCCAAAAGAUGCCCCAACAUAUAACAAAGACACGUGCUCCACUAUGUUCAUAGCAGCCUUAUUUAUAGUAGCCAGUAGCUGGAAAGAACCCAGAUGCCCUUCAACAGAGGAAUAGAUACAGAAAUUGUGGUACAUCUACACAAUGGAAUAUUACUCAGCUAUCAAAAACAAUGACUUUAUGAAAUUCAUAGACAAAUGGAUGGAACUGGAAAAUAUCAUCCUGAGUGAGGUAACCCAAUCACAGAAAAACACACAUGGUAUGCACUCAUUGAUAAGUGGCUAUUAGCCCAAAUGCUCGAAUUACCCUAGAUGCACAGAACACAUGAAACUCAAGAAGGAUGACCAAAAUCAUGCUACUCUCCUUCUUUAAAAGGGGAACAAGAAUACCCUUGGGAGGGGAUAGGGAGGCAAAUUUUAGAACAGAGGCAGAAGGAACACCCAUUCAGAGUCUGCCCCACAUGUGGCCCAUCCAUAUACAGCCACCCAAUUAGACAAGAUGGAUGAAGUAAAGAAGUGCAGGCCUAAUGAACCAGAUGUAGAUCUCUCCUGAGAGACACAGCCAGAAUACAGCAAAUACAUAGGUGAAUGCCAGCAGCAAACCACUGAACUGAGAACGGGACCCACUUUGAAGGAAUCAGAGAAUGGACUGAAAGAGCUGAAGGGGCUCGAGACCCCAUAUGAACAACAAUGCCAAGCAACCAGAGCUUCCAGGGACUAAGCCACUACCCAAAGACACGGACUGACCCUGGGCUCCAACUUCAUAGGUAGCAAUGAAUAGCCUAGUAAGAGCACCAGUGGAAGGGGAAGCUCUUGGUCCUGCCAAGACUAAAUCUCCAGUGAAUGUGAUUG